rnacentral:rRNA from 1 species
UACGGAGGGUGCAAGCGUUAUCCGGAUUCACUGGGGUUAAAGGGUGCGUAGGUGGAUUGGUAAGUCCGUGGUGAAAUCCCCGAGCUUAACUCGGGAACUGCCGUGGAUACUAUCAAUCUUGAAUACUGUGGAGGUAAGCGGAAUAUGUCAUGUAGCGGUGAAAUGCUUAGAUAUGACAUGGAACACCGAUAGCGAAGGCAGCUUGCUACACAGUUAUUGACACUGAGGCACGAAAGCGUGGGGAGCAAACAGG